rnacentral:rRNA from 1 species
AAACCAGCACCUCAAGUGGUCAGGAUGAUUAUUGGGCCUAAAGCAUCCGUAGCCUGCUUUGUCAGUUUUCGGUUAAAUCCAUACGCUCAACGUAUGGGCCGCCGGAAAUACUGCAAAGCUAGGGAGUGGGAGAGGUAGACGGUACUCGGGAGGAAGGGGUAAAAUCCUUUGAUCUCUCGAUGACCACCUGUGGCGAAGGCGGUCUACCAGAACACGUCCGACGGUGAGGGAUGAAAGCUGGGGGAGCAAACCGGAUUAGAAACCCGAGUAGUCC